rnacentral:rRNA from 1 species
GACGAACGCUGGCGGCGUGCCUAAUACAUGCAAGUCGAACGCAGUGGGGACGGGUGGGUAACACGUGGGUAACCUCCCAUCAGAGGGGAUAACACUUGGAAACAGGUGCUAAACCGAUACUGAUGGAUGGACCCGCGGUGCAUUAGCUAGUUGGUGAGGUAACGGCUCACCAAGGCCACGAGGCAUAGCCGAGCUGAGAGGGUGAUCGGCCACAUUGGGACUGAGAAACGGCCCAGACUCCUACGGGAGGCAGAAGGAGGGAAUCUGCGGCAAUGGACGAAAGUCUGACCGAGCAACGCCGCGUGAGUGAAGAAGGUUUUCGGAUCGUAAAACUCUGUUGUUAGAGAAGCGGUAUCUAACCAGAAAGCCAAGGCUAACUACGUGCCAGCAGCCGCGGUAAUUC